UACGGAAGGCAGCAGUGGGGAAUAUUGCACAAUGGGCGCAAGCCUGAUGCAGCCAUGCCGCGUGUAUGAAGAAGGCCUUCGGGUUGUAAAGUACUUUCAGUCGUGAGGAAGGUGUUAAGGUUAAUAACCUUAGCAAUUGACGUUAGCGACAGAAGAAGCACCGGCUAACUCCGUGCCAGCAGCCGCGGUAAUACGGAGGGUGCGAGCGUUAAUCGGAAUUACUGGGCGUAAAGGGCACGCAGGCGGUUAAUUAAGUUGGAUGUGAAAUCCCCGGGCUUAACCUGGGAAUGGCAUUCAAGACUGGUUAGCUAGAGUCUUGUAGAGGGGGUAGAAUUCCAUGUGUAGCGGUGAAAUGCGUAGAGAUGUGGAGGAAUACCGGUGGCGAAGGCGGCCCCUGGACAAAGACUGACGCUCAUGUGCGAAAGCGUAGGGGAGCAAACAGGGAUUAGAUACC
rnacentral:rRNA from 1 species